rnacentral:rRNA from 1 species
UCCUCUGACGUUAGCGGCGGACGGGUGAGUAACACGUGGAUAACCUACCUAUAAGACUGGGAUAACUUCGGGAAACCGGAGCUAAUACCGGAUAAUAUAUGGAACCGCAUGGUUCAAUAGUGAAAGACGGUUUUGCUGUCACUUAUAGAUGGAUCCGCGCCGCAUUAGCUAGUUGGUAAGGUAACGGCUUACCAAGGCAACGAUGCGUAGCCGACCUGAGAGGGUGAUCGGCCACACUGGAACUGAGACACGGUCCAGACUCCUACGGGAGGCAGCAGUAGGGAAUCUUCCGCAAUGGGCGAAAGCCUGACGGAGCAACGCCGCGUGAGUGAUGAAGGUCUUCGGAUCGUAAAACUCUGUUAUUAGGGAAGAACAAAUGUGUAAGUAACUAUGCACGUCUUGACGGUACCUAAUCAGAAAGCCACGGCUAACUACGUGCCAGCAGCCGCGGUAAUACGUAGGUGGCAAGCGUUAUCCGGAAUUAUUGGGCGUAAAGCGCGCGUAGGCGGUUUUUUAAGUCUGAUGUGAAAGCCCACGGCUCAACCGUGGAGGGUCAUUGGAAACUGGAAAACUUGAGUGCAGAAGAGGAAAGUGGAAUUCCAUGUGUAGCGGUGAAAUGCGCAGAGAUAUGGAGGAACACCAGUGGCGAAGGCGACUUUCUGGUCUGUAACUGACGCUGAUGUGCGAAAGCGUGGGGA